rnacentral:lncRNA from 1 species
CAUCCUUUUCCUUGACCCAACCACCAGGAAGUUCAAAGGCCAGAGCAAAAUGUGUUGUCUGUCCACAAAUGCAAAAGAAAAUUUAUUGUCGUAGUAUCAGAUAAUGUUCAGAAACAUUUGUGCAACAAAGAGAUGUAAAAAGUGGAUACUUGUGAUACACACCCCUGAAUCAGCUUGAUGACGAUAAUCACCUCCUUUAUAAACUGGCUUUGGUUCAGCUGGACGUGGCACAUUGGGUAGGUCGGAUAAAAGUGGUUCUGCAUAUUUUAACAGCUCUUCAUGGUCAACACCUGAUGCAGCAAGGACCAUCCGAGAAGCAGUAUAAUUUUCCUGUACAGUGAAAAUACCAUUCAGGAAAACAAACGACUGUUAAAUAUCAACAGAUGAGAAAUCGGAAGGGGUUAGAGUCCCAAACAGUACAUCAAUGAGAAUUAAGCAGAUGUCGGUUUUUACAUAUUUAUAUUAGAUAUGAACAUUAUACAUAUGUAGAGGGCAGACAGUGCUUGCUUCCUUCAAGAAACAUAGUUAACUACUAAAAUGAUUAGGUAAAAUAAUGGCAACCCACAUAGUCUAGAGUACAUCCCCUUUCCAGGACCACCAGCUGAGAAAGAUCCACCUCCUCCCAUAAGCAUCUACAUGAUCAAUACAAUCAGUAAUUCCUUACAAGACAGUAUCCAAACCAAAACAAAACCGUGAAAGAAACGAGAACGAUCAAUAUAGAACAAGCAAUCGUAUAUAUAGAUUCAUUUUAUAGAGGAAAGAAAUUUAAGCAAAUAACUUGUUCAGCCACGUUUCAAUCUGUAUUAAGUACAGUCGAUGUUGGGGUUAGAAUUACGAAAAAAAAUGUUAAACCUGAAGAACUGUCAAAACUAUAGCAUCCUUUUCCUUGACCCAACCACCAGGAAGUUCAAAGGCCAGAGCAAAAUGUGUUGUCUGUCCACAAAUGCAAAAGAAAAUUUAUUGUCGUAGUAUCAGAUAAUGUUCAGAAACAUUUGUGCAACAAAGAGAUGUAAAAAGUGGAUACUUGUGAUACACACCCCUGAAUCAGCUUGAUGACGAUAAUCACCUCCUUUAUAAACUGGCUUUGGUUCAGCUGGACGUGGCACAUUGGGUAGGUCGGAUAAAAGUGGUUCUGCAUAUUUUAACAGCUCUUCAUGGUCAACACCUGAUGCAGCAAGGACCAUCCGAGAAGCAGUAUAAUUUUCCUGUACAGUGAAAAUACCAUUCAGGAAAACAAACGACUGUUAAAUAUCAACAGAUGAGAAAUCGGAAGGGGUUAGAGUCCCAAACAGUAAAACAAUGAAAAAGUAAAGGAACAAAAAAUCAAUGAUGUAUGGGGCUCACAGCAAUGAACUCCUCCAAAACUGCACUGUUCAACCUGCUCACAGCAGAUUCCACUGCCAAAAGAGAAUUUCCAUACGGACCAGAGUAACCAGCUGAAUGAAUAGCCUCCAAAAGCAAGUGUUGAGGGUUUUUAGAGCAUUCACUAACCUCAGCGCUAACCUUAUGAAGCUGAAAUGGACAUUACUAUAUUUAUUCACACCCCCAAAACAGCCUAAAAAAUGAGCACUAACUCCCAUAUGAGAUAGAUGAACUAUACCUGCUCGCUAACCUCCCAAUCCAGAAAAGCAGGGUUCCUCACUGAGUCAAUGAGAAGCUCUAUCAUUUGAGGAACAUAGGUUUUUAGAGCAUCAUAGGUGUAACCCAUAUGUUCCCGAGAGGCUGAAGCCAUGACAUUGCCACCAAUUGCCUCAACUUCUCUAACAACACGCAAGUGGCUCCGAUUUGUUGUACUUUUGAAGGCCAUACGUUCCAGGAGGUGUGUGGCCCCAAAUGACGUCGGAGUUUCGACGAUAAUCACCUCCUUUAUAAACUGGCUUUGGUUCAGCUGGACGUGGCACAUUGGGUAGGUCGGAUAAAAGUGGUUCUGCAUAUUUUAACAGCUCUUCAUGGUCAACACCUGAUGCAGCAAGGACCAUCCGAGAAGCAGUAUAAUUUUC